AGUUUGAUCCUGGCUCAGAUUGAACGCUGGCGGCAUGCCUUACACAUGCAAGUCGAACGGCAGCACGGGAGCUUGCUCCUGGUGGCGAGUGGCGAACGGGUGAGUAAUACAUCGGAACGUACCCUGAAGUGGGGGAUAACGUAGCGAAAGUUACGCUAAUACCGCAUAUUCUGUGAGCAGGAAAGAGGGGGAUCGCAAGACCUCUUGCUUUAGGAGCGGCCGAUGUCGGAUUAGCUAGUUGGUGAGGUAAAGGCUCACCAAGGCGACGAUCCGUAGCGGGUCUGAGAGGAUGAUUCGCCACACUGGGACUGAGACACGGCCCAGACUCCUACGGGAGGCAGCAGUGGGGAAUUUUGGACAAUGGGCGCAAGCCUGAUCCAGCCAUGCCGCGUGAGUGAAGAAGGCCUUCGGGUUGUAAAGCUCUUUCGGUGGGGAAGAAAUUGCUUCGGUUAAUACCUGGAGUAGAUGACGGUACCCGCAUAAGAAGCACCGGCUAACUACGUG
rnacentral:rRNA from 1 species